rnacentral:rRNA from 1 species
UACGUAGGGGGCAAGCGUUGUCCGGAUUUAUUGGGCGUAAAGAGCGUGUAGGCGGCUUGACAGGUCUGCUGUGAAAACUCGAGGCUCAACCUCGAGAUGUCGGCGGAAACCGUCUGGCUAGAGUCCGGAAGAGGAGAGUGGAAUUCCUGGUGUAGCGGUGAAAUGCGCAGAUAUCAGGAAGAACACCUAUGGCGAAGGCAGCUCUCUGGGACGGUACUGACGCUGAGACGCGAAAGCGUGGGGGGCGAACAGG